rnacentral:rRNA from 1 species
CCAAUAGCGUAUAUUAAAGUUGUUGCAGUUAAAAAGCUCGUAGUUGAAUUUCGGGAUCAAUAUGCCGGUCAUGCCUUGGUAUGUACUGGUAUCUAUGAUUUCUCCCUUCUGACGAACUUUGAUGUCAUUAAUUUGGUGUCAUAGGGAAUCAGGACUGUUACUUUGAAAAAAUUAGAGUGUUUAAAGCAGGCUCACGCUUGAAUACAUUAGCAUGGAAUAAUGAAAUAGGACGUUUGAUUCUAUUUUGUUGGUUUCUAGGAUCGACGUAAUGAUUAAUAGGGAUAGUUGGGGGCAUUAGUAUUCAAUUGUCAGAGGUGAAAUUCUUGGAUUUAUUGAAGACUAACUACUGCGAAAGCAUUUGCCAAGGAUGUUUUCAUUAAUCAAGAACGAAAGUUAGGGGAUCGAAGACGAUCAGAUACCGUCGUAGUCUUAACCAUAAACUAUGCCGACUAGGGAUCGGAUGAUGUUAAUUUUUUAAUGACUCAUUCGGCGCCUUACG